rnacentral:rRNA from 1 species
GACGAACGCUGGCGGCGUGCUUAACACAUGCAAGUCGAGCGGUAAGGCCCUUUCGGGGGUACACGAGCGGCGAACGGGUGAGUAACACGUGGGUGACCUGCCCUCAGCUCUGGGAUAAGCCUGGGAAACCGGGUCUAAUACCGGAUAUGACUCCAUGACGCAUGUUGUGGGGUGGAAAGCCUUGUGCGGCUGAGGAUGGGCCCGCGCCUAUCAGCUUGUUGGUGGGGUGAUGGCCUACCAAGGCGACGACGGGUAGCCGGCCUGAGGA